GGCGCGCUAACCACUACGCCACGGCGCCGGGCAAUGAAGAUCAUUUCAGCAAAAUAUUUGGUCAAAAUCAAGAAGAUCUUAAUGAAUGGCAACAGCUUUUUGUGAACCACCAACUUCAAAAUGCUGGCAUUGCACCAAACAGUCGGCUGUAUCAUCUACCCAAUAUUUAUAAAUUUUAUUCUAUGGAUUAUAUUAAUAGUAUUAGUACUGAUAUUUUUUAUAUUACAGAAAAAAUUUGGUCAAAAUCAAGGAGAUCUUAAUGAAUGGCAACAGCUUUUUAUGAACCACCAACUUCAAAAUGCUGGCAUUGCACCAAACAGUCGGCUGUAUCAUCCUGACAUUGUAAGAUGGGCCAAGUCUUUUAUGAAACACGACGGCAGUGCACUCCAUCUCGAGAGUAAAGAGGCUGUGUUAGUAGAUCAGCAACAAGAUCAAACUCGGUUACUGCUGGAAACACAAACACAUAAAAAACGACAGAAAAAUCGCUUUGCUCCUGACGCAAUCUUCGACACCAUUAUUUAUCUCGCUAAACAAGGGUUGGCGCUUCGCGGACAUACUGAUAACAAAUCAAAUCUACUGAAUGGUCUGAAACUUUUAUCGCGACACAACGAUGAUGUUCAUGAUUGGAUAUAUGUUAAUGUACAAGAAAAACAAAAAUGGUUGGGGCAUGAUAUACAAAAUGAAAUAUUGGGAAUAAUUGCUAAUAAAGUUCGACAAAAAAUCCUUUCUUCCAUAAAAGAUGCAAAAAACUUCGCCAGUAUCGCAGACGAAACCACCGACAUCAGUCGAGCAAGUAUCCGUUUGUGUACGCUCUAUAUGUUACAGAAACUUUUGAGAAGUUUCUUGGUUUUUAUGAAACUGCCAACACUGAUGCGUCAACCCUUGCUAGUAAAAUAGAAAACGCAAUCACCACGUGUGGUUUGAAUUUAAACGACUGUGUUGGUCAGUCAUAUGAUAGAGCGGCAAAUAUGCGAGGGCACAUAAGCGGUGUGCAACAACGGAUGAAGGAAAAAUACCCAAAAAUGUUGUAUGUGUAUUGUAUUGGACACCAAAUAAAUUUAAUUGUUCAGGAGGUAUUCACUGUAAAUUCUUUCGUAAAAACUGCUUUGGCUAUGCUGACAAGUACUGUAAAUUUUAUUAAAUCCUCUCUGAGGCGCUUGGCCGCUUUUAAUGAAUUCUCUCCCGGCAACGAAUCUCAUCACACCAACAAAUCUCUGCGUCCUUUGUGCCCAACACGUUAGAUUCUGCGAUAUGCAGCAAUUAAGACGUUUGUGGCGGAAUAUGAAAAUAUCCUUGAUUGGCUGAAUGAGGUUGCUAACGAUCCGACGCGAACUUCAGUCACCAAAGGGGCUGCCCGACCUUUGCUGUUAGGGCUGGAGGAUUUUACGGUUUAUUUUAUGUUAAUGUUAGUAAAAUAAAUUUUAAGGUUCAUCAAUCCGAUCCACGUCCAGUCACCUGCUAUAACAGUUGAUCGCUGCCGGCGACUUAUAGAGGGGUUAUUGGUUAUUUUAACUGAUCACAACAACACCGACAGUGCUGUUCAAUUUUAUAAAGCCUGCACCAAACACAGUCGUGAAAUAGGCUUACAGAUGCCGUCUGUUCCUCGCACCCCUGGUCGUCGGGGCAGAAACGUGUUGACCUUUAAGCAACGACCCUGAAGAAUAUUUCUGCAAUAUUUAUACAGAGAUAUUUAAAAAAGCGUCCAACGCUAUCUUGGCCAGGUAUCCUUCUGGGGAUCUGGAAUUUUCUGCCAAGAUCGAGAAUGUUCUUUCAUGCGAAGCCAAUCCCGCAUGUACAGAGGAAGUUGAGAAAUUUUAUAAUGAAAUAAUAUCAACGGGUUCUAUUAAGGAAGAAACACAAAUUCUAAAGAGAUACCUUUCCGCCAAAUCAAAUGGUAUUACUACACCUUCAGACUUGGCAGCACUGAGCUAUACAUAUAACUAGAGAGCGCGACUCAAUCAGAUUUAAAGGCAGCAGAGAGCGAAAAUAGGACACGCUUGACUGAUUCAGUUUUGUCCCCAAUUUUAAAGGCGCCAAAGGCAGUCUGCCUGUACGAUACCAUUAAAAAAUUUGAAGUAAAUAUAUAGAACCCCAGGCAUAAUGCAAUCAGUAACUAAAGAUGAGUAAUUUGGUAAAGAUGGUUACAACAAUGAUGAGCUUAAACAUAAACUAUAUAUGUAUAAAUAAAAGCUGGCAGAUGUUCUGAAAGAUAAAUUAGCCAUUUGUUUAUCGAUUGCCG